rnacentral:lncRNA from 10 species
CAUCAUUCCUGAUAGCACACUGCUAGGGAGGCUGGUGACACUGCUCCACAGAGCAGAGAAGCCCUGGCCCCCAAGAAUCCAUUCGGCCCACGAGGAUGGGACUGGGCUCAGAUGGAGUCUUGCUCUAUCGCUAUGCUGGAGUGCAGUGGCGCAAUCUCACCUCACUACAACCUCUGCCUCCCGGGUUCAAGCAAUUCCCCUGCCUCAGCCUCCUGAGGAGCUGGGACUACAGGUACCUGCCACCACACAAGGCUAAUUUUUUGUAUUUUAGUAGAGACGGGGUUUUACCAUGCUGGCCAGGAUGGUCUUGAUUUCCUGGCCUUGUGAUCCACGCGCCUCGGCCUCCCAAAGUGCUGGGAUUACAGGCGUGAGCCACCGCGCUGGGCCAUCAUUCUCUACACUUUCUAAGGUUUGGAAAACUACAAUUCCCAGAAUCUUUUUCCCUGUGUGGUUCCACGUCAGAGUUUGCCAAUGAGAUCUGUAAGGUGGGCACAUGUGAAGUCCACGGCGGCUUCUCAGCCAGUGCUUGGGGAUCACUCAUUUUGCUACUGCAGACUAAACUGGUUGGAGGGAGUUUGUUCAGAAAUUUGUGAGAACUACAGCAGUUUCCUUGGAAGCUUUUUUGAGAAGUGUGAGGUCUUCAGCGUCCACUUCCAUAACUUUCUGGUUGCAGGUUCCUGGUUUUCUGCAGUGACUCCCCUGGCCUCUACAACUCCAACUCCUACAAUACUCAUAUGAACCUUAAGUCCUAGACACAACCCCUUCAUUUCCAGAAUACUUAGAUUGACUCCAUUGUCUUGACCAAACCCAGACUGAUCCAGAAUUCCCAUGUAAAAAGGAUUCUGCCCAGAGAUCAGGAUCUGAAGUCUGUAAAUACCCAGCAAAUGUGUGUGGUUGUCCUGGCUAAAAUUUAAACUCACAAAUGUACUUUUAUUUUGCCCACUUUUUCCAUUCCAUCCUAUUGAACUUGGACGAGUCAUCAAUAAAUGCCUUCAUUUAGAAAGCUGACUUUUUAAGUUACAAAUGAUGUUGCCAUAUUCAGGAUCAGUAAGAACUGGGUCCGCUCCACGCCCCAACAGUAGUGGGAUUUCCCACCACCCACAUACAUGGGAAAAGAUAAGUCUCCUGCAAAGUUUUUGUCUUUUAAGCUGAAUUUAUUUAACUCAAAGCAUCUACCCAAGAGCUAAGAUAGCCUAUAGAACUCCAAGUGUGGACAGAAAUAAUUAACAGUAAUUAAGACACUUGUCAUUGCUUAUGUUUAUUAACUUUAAACUAUUACCCAUGCUUAAGUGCCAAGUGAGGAUGAAUAAAGAAAAACAUAAAGCAGGGCUCUUCUGGUGGGGCUUCAUCAUUCAUCUCUUCAGUUAACUGGAGUCUCAGCCGUGAUGUUCCAGGCCUCUUCGCUAAAAUGCUGCCGCCUGAAAAUAACUUGGUGCGGAGGCAGGAAAUUCUAAAGAAAUUAAUAAGGUGACAACCCUGCUGUCUUUAAAUUCCAUCAAUAUUCAUAUUUUGCAACAUAUGGUGAGAGGAGCUCGGACUUUGCAGUUAGACAGGCCUAGGUUAAUAUCCUAGCUUUGAUAUUUACUAGAUGUCUCCCCUGCAUUUAAAUGUGUAAGCCUCAGUUUUCAUCUGUGAUGAUAGUAUUACAAAUGAAGUAGGUACAAUUAUCUUUACCCGUAAGGGAACUUCCCAUGAGCAGUGAUGGCUCCAAGGCAUAGAAAGAUGGGAUGGGACUUCACUGUUCCCUAACAAGCUAUACCCUCCAACCCAAAAGCACAAUCUAAGUAAAAGCUAUGAGCUUGCUGUUGAAACCAAUUCAAUGGUACAAUUUGAUGUUGAAAUAAAAUUAGAAACUCCUAGCCCCUUCCUAGCAGAAUGCUACCCCUCAGCCCCUCCUUUAUAAGCUGCCAGUUCCCAAAAGAAAAUCCGUUUGUGAUCCAAGUCAUCUCUCUAAAAUAUUUCUUUUCAUGACAAUGUUUUACCACAACUCUACUCUGAUGCUUUCCUCUGAAUAAAAUCAGCAGGUUAAUGAUUUUAAAUAUCUGGGUUAAUGUUUCCAUUUGAACCAUUCCAGGAGACAAACAUGAGAAUGACUAGGUAUCAAAUGAAUAUAGGCACUG